AUAAAGUUUACUGGAGUAGCUAUGUUAAAGGGAUUCACGCUGGACAAAUGGUUCUGCGGCUAGUUGAAGCAAUUGAUGUUUAUCUUGCUGGGACUGUCAUGUUGAUCUUUGGCAUGGGCUUAUACGGAUUGUUUAUCAGUAAUGUGCCUCCUGAUGAGAAAAAAGCAAGUGAAAGGCAAUCUUAAUGCCAAAGUUGGAAAGAUAGCUGGCUGUGUUGAUGUUAAUGCCCAAAAACGUAUCACUACUCUGGGGGAGGCAUAAUCCUGGGUAGGUUUAAUGGCUUAUAUUUCUUAAGUUGAGAGGUCAGGCCCAUUGAUUUUGGGUUGUCUUCCAGUGGAGAAACUCAGGUCAGUACUUUGUCUCUAGAGGCUGUAAAUAUAACCAUUCCACUAUAUUUUUUUACCAGUUAUUAUUUUUUGUUUUUAGUUUCCCUUUAUUUGAAAAUAAACAGCAACUUAAGCUAUGAAACUGUUUUUUUUUAACAGAAUAUACUUUUUCUCCCUUCUCCUACCAAUUUUAGCAUAAACAAGCGGGAUGAAAGUUAAAGAGCAACAACCCUUAUAAAUGAAAAUGUAUUAAAGGCCGAUUUUUGUUGUUAGCGUAUUAAUAUAUUAAAAUUUACUAUUAAAAUAGUUGCAUUGAUUAACAUUAAUACAAUUGUUAGUUUUGUUCUCUUAGUUUUGAAGUAAGCACAACAUGUGAACUUGAGAUAUAUGGAAACUAGUGAUUUUUUGCUAAUUGUGGCCAUUGCAACUUGCAAAGCUAUUGAGUGUUGAAAUUUUUGACUUAAUUACUUGUGUUAAUACA